AACGUACGCUGGCGGCACGCCUAACACAUGCAAGUCGAACGAAGUAGCAAUACUUAGUGGCAGACGGGUGAGUAACAUGUAGGUAUCUGCCCUUUGGCCUGGAAUAACACGAGGAAACUUGUGCUAAUACCUCAUAAGUCUUUACGGAGAAAGCUUUAUGCGCCAAUGGAUGAGCCCGCACUUGAUUAGUUUGUUGGUGAGGUAAUGGCUCACCAAGACUUUGAUCAAUAGCUGAUUUGAGAGGAUGAUCAGCCACAUUGGGACUGAGACACGGCCCAAACUCCUACGGGAGGCAGCAGUAGGGAAUCUUGCACAAUGGGGGAAACCCUGAUGCAGCGAUGCCGCGUGAGUGAAGAAGGCCUUUGGGUUGUAAAGCUCUUUCGUCGGGGAAGAAAAUGACUGUACCCGAAUAAGAAGGUCCGGCUAACUUCGUGCCAGCAGCCGCGGUAAUAC
rnacentral:rRNA from 1 species